rnacentral:rRNA from 1 species
GAGUACGCACGCAAGUGUGAAACUCAAAAGAAUUGACGGGGACCCGCACAAGCAGCGGAGCAUGUGGUUUAAUUCGAAGCAACGCGAAGAACCUUACCAGGUCUUGACAUCCCUAUGCCAUCAUUUUAACCGAUGAGUUCCCUUCGGGGACGUAGGUGACAGGUGGUGCAUGGUUGUCGUCAGCUCGUGUCGUGAGAUGUUGGGUUAAGUCCCGCAACGAGCGCAACCCUUAUUUUUAGUUGCCAUCAGGUGAAGCUGGGCACUCUAAAGAGACUGCCGGUGACAAACCGGAGGAAGGUGGGGAUGACGUCAAAUCAUCAUGCCCCUUAUGAUCUGGGCUACACACGUGCUACAAUGGCUGGUACAAAGGGCAGCGAAGGAGUAAUCUGGAGCGAAUCUCAUAAAGCCAGUCCCAGUUCGGAUUGUGGGCUGAAACUCGCCCACAUGAAGUUGGAGUUGCUAGUAAUCGCGAAUCAGCAUGUCGCGGUGAAUGCGUUCCCGGGUCUUGUACACACCGCCCGUCACACCAUGGAAGUUGGAAGCGCCCGAAGUCGGUGAUCUAACCCUUUUAGGGAGGAAGCCGCCGAAGGUGAAGCCAAUGACUAGGGUGAAGUCGUAACAAGGUAACCAAGGGCGAA